CAAAGCAUGAUGUUUCCACCCCCAUGCUUCACAGUAGGUGUGGUGUUCUUGGGAUGCAACUCAGUAUUCUUGAGUUGAGUUUAUACCAAAAUGGAUACAUGGAUGAUACAGCAGAGGAUUGGGAGAAAUUUCAUGUGGUCAGAUGAAACCAAAAUAGAACUUUUUGGUAUAAACUCAACUGGUGGUGUUUGGAGGAAGAAGAAUACUGAGUUGCAUCCCAAGAACACCAUACCUACUGUGAAGCAUGGGGGUGGAAACAUCAUGCUUUGGGGGUGUUUUUCUGCUAAGAGGACAGGGCGAUUGAUCCGUGUUAAGGAAAGAAUGAAUGGGGCCAUGUAUCGUGAGAUUUUGAGUCAAAACCUCAAUACUUGUUUUCCACCAUCAUUUACAAAUAAAUUCUUUAAAAUUCCUACAAUGUGAAUUCCUGGAUUUUUUCUUCCCAUUCUGUCUCUCACAGUUGAAGUGUACCUAUGCUGAACAUUACAGACCUCUGUCAUCAUUUGAAGUGGGAGAACUUGCACAAUCGCUGGCUGACUAAAUACUUUUUUGCAUUAUACAGUCUGAUCACUGUCGGUUUGAAGGACUGUCGUAGUUUCAAAUAAUUUCUGCAACUCUUAUUUUUUUUUGUGAUAGUGAUUGGAGCAUAUACAUUCAUGAAGUUUGGUUCUUUUAUGAAUUUAUUAUUGGUCUACUGAAAAUGCAAAAUGUUAAUAUUUGCUUACAUGUCCCUUGGCAAGUUUCACUGCAAUAAGGCGAUUUUGGUAGCCAUCCACAAGCUUCUGGUUGAGUUUUUGACCACUCCUCUUGACAAAAUUGGUGCGGUACAGCUAAAUGUGUUGGUUUUCUGACACAGACUUGUUUCUUCAGCAUUGUCCACACGUUUAAGUCGGGAUUUAUUGGGAAGGCCAUUCUAAAAACUUAAUUCCAGCCACUCCUUUACCACUUUUGACGUGUGUUUGGGGGUCAUUGUCCCUGUUGGAACACCAGACUGAGCCCAAAGUCCAACCUCCGGGCUGAUGAUUUUAGGUUGUCCUGAAUAAUUUGGAGGUAAUCCUCCUUUUUCAUCGUCUCAUUUAAAGCAGCAGUUCCAUUGGCAGCAGAACAGGCCCAAAGCAUAAUCCUACCACCACCAUGCUUGUCAGUAGGUUUGGUGUUCCUGGGAUUAAAAAGGCCUCACCUUUUCUUCUGUAUUGUGGCCAAACAGAUCAAUUUUUGUUUCGUCUGACCACAGAACUUUCCUCCAGAAGGUCUUAUCUAUGGCUUUAAAGCAGGGGUCCCCAAACGUUUGGACUUGGGACCCGCAUUGGGUUAAAACUAUUUGGCAUGCAUGUAUGUAUAUAUGUAUGUAUGUAUGUAUGUAUGAAUGAAUGAAUACAGCGACGAAGCGGCCGGCUGGAGCGAGAAAGAGCUGAAAAGCGGCCCGACCGCAGACAAGCUUUAUUUGAAAAAAUAAAAGAGUCAAACCUGCGCAAGGCAAUGUCCUUCCUGGGUGGUCCAUUGAACCCGCACAACGACGGCUUAAGACUGUCACAGUGAUUUAAUUUGAAAAAAUCCGUCUAGAAUGAAGGUCUAGUCCUGACUAAGUCGUGCGGACAAUGCUGAAGAAACAAGUCCAUGUCAGAAAACCAGCAAAUUUAGCCGAACCGCACCAAUUUUGUCAAGAGGAGUGGUCAAAAAUUCAACCGGAAGCCUUUGUGACAGUCUCAUGCCGUGCGGGUUCCCAGGACCAUCAAGGAAGGACAUUGCUGAGCAGGUUUGACUUGCUUUAUAUUUUUCAAUUAAGCUUGUCUGCGGUCGGGUCGCUCUUCCGCGGCGUCUCCCGUCUCCCUCUGCUGCUCGCUCUCCGGUUCGCUCUUCAGUCGGCCGCGUCUCCGUCUCCCGUGUCUUGCUCUCUGUCUCUUUCAAUCCUCUCCACCUCCUUCUCCCCUUUUAUACAUUGAGAGGAGAUACAUUGAUUGUGUCCAGGUGCGCGAUCCACACACCUGAUCUCUAUUGUGGCGUCGCUCCCGGCACGCCCCGCCUCUCCACUCGGCCGCCUUCUCCGCCUCCUCGCCGCCACAACCUUAUCGCAGUGAAACUUGCCAAAUAUUAACAUUGCCGCACAUAUACUUUUAACAAAGUCACAUUUUCAGUAGACCCAUAAUAAAUUCACAAAAGAACCAAAUGUAUGAAUGUUUUUUUUGGUGUCAUGCCCCAAUCCCCCAAAAAUAAGAGUUGUCGAAAUGAUUGGAAACUCAAGACAGCCAUGACAUUAUGUUCCUUACAAGUGUACGUAAACUUUUGACCACGUCUGUGUAUGGAACUGUAAAGCCUUGAUAUAUUUACUUACUGUAUAUUUACGAUAUGCCUGUGAACGUGCUUGACUUGUGCCUUGUUGCCAUUUUUUUUCCUCCCUCAGGUUUGUUUUGCAUAGACUGCAAAAAAAUGACAAUGGCUGCUGGCCCUUCAUAAUGAAGUCAUACUAAGUUUAUUCCCUUACAUUUUGUUAUAUAAUAUAUAACUAAGCCAGCCCACACUCCUUUAGAAAUACGUACGAUUUUGCUUGUACGCAGUAGUUGUGCGUUUGACCCCCAGGGAAUUUUAUGCAAACAUGUUUUCUACGCUAACAUGAAGUCAAAAUGUUAAUUGGAGAAUUCUCAUUAGUUGUGCAAACUGGAGGUGCCUUGAUACUGUAUGCUUUUUUUUUAAAGGGAGAGGUGGCAUUUCCUGUGUCUUUGAAGCAGUACAGAUGUAGUAGAAAGCUCACGUUUCAGCUCUAUAAAAUAAAUAUAAUCUUUUUAUUUUGGAUGAAGUCGAUUCUUGCAAAACGAUCAUAAUUCUCGGGUGGCAUCGGCGUAAACGUGCUACCUUUCGUCGCUAACCCCUUCGAGUUCACGAAGGAUUUGCAGGAAGACAUAGAUCAACAUCUGAAGCAGAUAUACCUUGCAAGAGAUCAGGAGUUGGGAAAGUAUAACAAAUCAGAAACGGGGGGAAAAACACUCAUAACCAUAGCACACAUAAGCAUGUGUGUAAGAGGGAAACACCAAAGGACAUUAAAGACUUUAAAAGAGCGUAGCUGAUGCGACCGGCCACUUCUACACACAGCUACAAAAGUAAAACAAAACAAAAAAAAAACAUAUACAGAGAAUUGGAGCAGACCCAACAAAGCAACCAAGAAAGCCGACUCCACCCUCGGCCGCCCACCAGCUCUCGCCAAUCAGUCAGAUUCAGAUUCCGAAUCAGAAAUACUUUAACAAUCCCCAAGGGGAAAUUAAGAUUUUCGGCAAAAUCCCAUUGAACAGCAGACAAACAUUACAGGGAGACAGAACAGGAUCGCUGAAGGGUCUGCCAACUUCCGGCGCCCCUUAAAAAAAAGGUGAUAAACAGGUGGAAAAAACACCCAUAGCCAUGGCACAUAUAAGCAUGUGUGUAAGAGGGAAACACCAAAGGACAUUAAAGACUUUAAAAGAGCGGAGCUGAUGCGACCGGCCACUUCUACACACAGCUACAAAAGUAAAACAAAACAAAAAAAAAACAUAUACAGAGAAUUGGAGCAGACCCAACAAAGCAACCAAGAAAGCCGACUCCACCCUCGGCCGCCCACCAGCUCUCGCCAAUCAGUCAGAUUCAGAUUCCGAAUCAGAAAUACUUUAACAAUCCCCAAGGGGAAAUUAAGAUUUUCGGCAAAAUCCCAUUGAAAAGCAGACAAACAUUACAGGGAGACAGAACAGGAUCGCUGAAGGGUCUGCCAACUUCCGGCGCCCCUUAAAAAAAAGGUGAUAAACAGGUGGAAAAAACACUCAUAGCCAUGGCACAUAUAAGCAUGUGUGUAACAGGGAAACACCAAAGUACAUUAAAGGACAUUAAAAGAGCACAGCUGAUGCAACCGGCCACGUCUACACACUUUUACAAAAGUAAAAACAAAAAAAACAUAUACAGAGAAUUGGAGCAGACCCAACAAAGCAACCAAGAGAGCGGACUCCACCCUCGGCCGCCCACCAGCUCUCGCCAAUCAGUCAGAUUUAGAAUCAGAAAUACGCUAAAGUCCUACUGAAAGCCACUACUACCCACCACACAGUCUGAUAGUUUAUAUAUCAAUGAUGAAAUAUUAACAUUGCAACACAUGCCAAUACGGCCGCUUUAGUUUACUAAAUUGCAAUUUUAAAUUUUGCGCGGAAGUCGUCUCUUUUCAUCGCAUAAAUCCACAGUAUUCUGGACUUCUGUGUUGCUGAAUCUUUUGCAAUUUGCUCAAUGAAUAAUGGAGACGUCAAAGAAGAAAGAUGUAGGUGGGAAGCGGUGUAUGGCGGCCGCCUUUAGCAACACAAACACAGCCGGUGUUUCCUUGUUUACAUUCCCGAAAGAUGACGGUGAAGCUUUAGUAUGGAAAAGAGAUGUCAAGCAACAUGGUUCCCUGCCACAUGUCAACCGUCAGGUUUCGGUGAAAAAAUGGUGGUAAUAAGUCGGCUCUUACCGUUGACAUGAAUGGAGAGCUUGCAUCGUUCCUCCUGCACUUGCAGCUGCGGACUCUAUUGCCUCCUCCCACCGGCCGCCCCCGACAGUCGGAUGUUUCCACCGUGGAGGAGGGGGAAAAAAAAUCUCAGCCCGGCCCCACUGGCUGGCUUCGCCUCGUCGAGAAACGUGGCUUCCCUCAGAGACACUGGCGGUCACCACACUCGUGACCACACCCCUCCGACCUUCAGGUGGCCAUGAUUGUAAACAAUGUUCAGAUGUGAGGAGCUCCACAACCCGUGACGUCUGCUACUUCCGAUACAGGCAAGGCUUUUUUAUUAGCGACCAAAAGUUGCAAACUUAAUCGUCCAUGUUCUCUACUAAAUCCUUUCAGCAAAAAUAUGGCGAUAUCACAAAAUGAUCAAGUAUGACACAUAGAAUGGACCUGCUAUCCCUGUUUAAAUAAGAACAUCUCAGCGCCCCCCGCGACCCCGAAAGGGAAUAAGCGGUAGAAAAUGGAUGGAUGGAUGGAUUUAAAAGAGCAGAGCUGAUACACACAGCCACAAAAGUAAAACAACAACAAACAUACACUGUGUUGGGGUGAGCAUGGCCAGGAACAGGAGCAGACCCAACAAAGCAACCACCUUAGGCCAGUGUCCAGUCCGCAUGGAUGAGCGAGGAUCCGUCCAAGGAGACACUGGGAAACCUGUCCUGUCCGUCCCAGCUCUGCAGACCCUGUGUGUCUUCAUCCGCAUCUCCUCCAGUUUUUCCAAACGGACUCUGGUGUGGCAGAGACCCAGCAGCUGGUCUCCAUGGCCUAAAGGCAGAUCCAGAAGUUCAUUUUAAAAAAACCACCACAAAAGUGCCACUCCUUGUCACACAGUCCCAAGGUUCCCCAAUCAAAAGGCAAACAAAAAACCCCACAUAUCGCCUGUAUCGGUUGGGGACAUCUCUACGCUGCUGAUCCGCUUGAGAUGGUUUCCUGUGGACGGGACUCUCACUGCUGUGUUGGAGCCACUAUGGAUUGAACUUUCACAGUAUCAUGUUAGACCCGCUCGACAUCCAUUGCUUUCGGUCCCCUAGAGGGGGGGGGGGUUGCCCACAUCUGAGGUCCUCUCCAAGGUUUCUCAUAGUCAGCAUUGUCACUGGCGUCCCACUGAAUGUGAAUUCUCCCUGCCCACUGGGUGUGAGUUUUCCUUGCCCUUUUGUGGGUUCUUCCGAGGAUGUUGUAGUCGUAAUGAUUUGUGCAGUCCUUUGAGACAUUUGUGAUUUGGGGCUAUAUAAAUAAACAUUGAUUGAUUGAUUGACAUGCAGACUAACAAAAUAAAUAGACCACAAUCAAAUGUCCACUCUAGACCAGGCUGGUUCUCCAGGAUAUACCAAAAUAAGACUAAUAGUUCGGGUCAAAGUCCAAAACCCUCAGAUUUAUGCCCUAACAAACCAAUUUAGUCAAAUAUCCUUGGUCUAUGGCUGUGAUUAUUAAAUUGUGGCUUGCGGUACGCCAAAAGAUCAAUUAUAAAUAUUUAAACACAGUGUUACUAUUCAAACUGUAAUGUUACUUUGGGCAAAAAUAAUAAAUAUAUAUAAAUAUUU